ACUCCUACGGGAGGCAGCAGUGGGGAAUAUUGCACAAUGGGCGCAAGCCUGAUGCAGCCAUGCCGCGUGUAUGAAGAAGGCCUUCGGGUUGUAAAGUACUUUCAGCAGUGAGGAAGGUGGGUAUGUUAAUAGCAUAUUCUAUUUGUACGUUAGCUGCAGAAGAAGCACCGGCUAACUCCGUGCCAGCAGCCGCGGUAAGUACGGAGGGUGCGAGCGUUAAUCGGAAUUACUGGGCGUAAAGCGCAUGCAGGUGGUUGUUAAGUCAGAUGUGAAAGCCCGGGGCUCAACCUCGGAAUUGCAUUUGAAACUGGCAAACUAGAGUACUGUAGAGGGGGUAGAAUUUCAGGUGUAGCGGUGAAAUGCGUAGAGAUCUGAAGG
rnacentral:rRNA from 1 species